CGGCACGGGUGAGUAACACGUAUCCAACCUGCCGUCUACUCUUGGACAGCCUUCUGAAAGGAAGAUUAAUACAAGGUGGCAUCAUGAGUCCGCAUGUUCACAUGAUUAAAGGUAUUCCGGUAGACGAUGGGGAUGCGUUCCAUUAGAUAGUAGGCGGGGUAACGGCCCACCUAGUCUUCGAUGGAUAGGGGUUCUGAGAGGAAGGUCCCCCACAUUGGAACUGAGACACGGUCCAA
rnacentral:rRNA from 1 species